rnacentral:rRNA from 1 species
UACAGAGGUCCCAAGCGUUGUUCGGAUUCACUGGGCGUAAAGGGUGCGUAGGCGGUCGGGUAAGUCUGAUGUGAAAUCUCACAGCUUAACUGUGAAACUGCAUUGGAUACUAUCCGGCUCGAGGAAUGGAGGGGAGAUUGGAAUACUUGGUGUAGCAGUGAAAUGCGUAGAUAUCAAGUGGAACACCAGUGGCGAAGGCGAGUCUCUGGACCACAACUGACGCUGAGGCGCGAAAGCUAGGGGAGCAAACAGG